rnacentral:rRNA from 1 species
CCGUGAUCCGGGUUGCGGACAGUGUCUGGUGGGUAGUUUGACUGGGGCGGUCUCCUCCUAAAGAGUAACGGAGGAGCACGAAGGUUGGCUAAUCCUGGUCGGACAUCAGGAGGUUAGUGCAAUGGCAUAAGCCAGCUUGACUGCGAGCGUGACGGCGCGAGCAGGUGCGAAAGCAGGUCAUAGUGAUCCGGUGGUUCUGAAUGGAAGGGCCAUCGCUCAACGGAUAAAAGGUACUCCGGGGAUAACAGGCUGAUACCGCCCAAGAGUUCAUAUCGACGGCGGUGUUUGGCACCUCGAUGUCGGCUCAUCACAUCCUGGGGCUGAAGUAGGUCCCAAGGGUAUGGCUGUUCGCCAUUUAAAGUGGUACGCGAGCUGGGUUUAGAACGUCGUGAGACAGUUCGGUCCCUAUCUGCCGUGGGCGCUGGAGAACUGAGGGGGGCUGCUCCUAGUACGAGAGGACCGGAGUGGACGCAUCACUGGUGUUCGGGUUGUCAUGCCAAUGGCACUGCCCGGUAGCUAAAUGCGGAAGAGAUAAGUGCUGAAAGCAUCUAAGCACGAAACUUGCCCCGAGAUGAGUUCUCCCUGAGACUUAGAGUCUCCUGAAGGAACGUUGAAGACGACGACGUUGAUAGGCCGGGUGUGUAAGCGCAGCGAUGCGUUGAGCUAACCGGUACUAAUGAACCGUGAGGCUUAACCUU